CUUGGCACUGAACAUUGACCCUACAUGUGUAGGAUAGGUGGGAGGCUUUGAAGCACGUACGCCAGUAUGUGUGGAGCCGUCCUUGAAAUACCACCCUUGUAGUGUUGAUGUUCUAACGUCGACCCCUAAUCGGGGUUGCGGACAGUGCCUGGUGGGUAGUUUGACUGGGGCGGUCUCCUCCCAAAGAGUAACGGAGGAGCACGAAGGUGGGCUAAUCACGGUUGGACAUCGUGAGGUUAGUGCAAUGGCAUAAGCCCGCUUGACUGCGAGAAUGACAAUUCGAGCAGGUGCGAAAGCAGGUCAUAGUGAUCCGGUGGUUCUGAAUGGAAGGGCCAUCGCUCAACGGAUAAAAGGUACUCCGGGG
rnacentral:rRNA from 1 species